rnacentral:rRNA from 1 species
GAACCACUUUUAACGGCCGCGGUAUCCUAACCGUGCGAAGGUAGCAUAAUCACUUGUCCCCUAAAUAGGGACUAGCAUGAACGGCCAAACGAGGGCCCAACUGUCUCCUAUAGCCAACCAAUAAACCUGAUCUCUCAGUACAAAAGCUGAGAUAAAUACAUUAGACGAGAAGACCCUGUGGAGCUUAAAGCCCGGGUAUCAACACCAAAACCACCAUUGAUACGCGCUUUCAGUUGGGGCGACUAUGGAGCAAAACAAAACCUCCACGACACCACCACAGCGUGACAAAAGACUCACACGUCAACCCAUAAAUAUUAUGACCCAGUCAAACUGAUCAGCGAACCAAGUUACCCCAGGGAUAACAGCGCCAUCCUCCCCAAGAGUUCAUAUCGCCGGGAGGGCUUACGACCUCGAUGUUGGAUCAGGACACCCAGGUGGUGCAGCCACUGCCAAAGG